AAAUGUUGAGCCUUUAUUUAUGAGAUAGACCGAUAGAGUGUCUUCUAACAUUUUAUAUAUUAGAGCAUCUUCAACUUCACUCUAUAUUUUAUUCUAAAAUAUAGUUUGAAAUAAGAAAAGCUAUAAUUAUACUAUUUUUGCCACUUCAUAAUGAAAUAAAAAAAUAAGCUUACUUGAAAAAUGAAAAAUAGUUUUAUUGUUGUUAAUUCACUC
rnacentral:lncRNA from 1 species